GCCGAACGCUGGCGGCGUGCUUAACACAUGCAAGUCGAGCGGAGCGGCGAACGGGUGAGUAACGCGUGCGUAACUGCCCCCCUCUCGGGGAUACCAGUUGGAAACGGCUGCUAAUACCGGAUAGUGGGGGAUGGAUCGCGUCCUAUCAGCUUGUUGGUGGGGUAGUGGCCUACCAAGGCGACGACGGGUAGCCGGCCUGAGAGGGCGACCGGCCACAUGGGGCAGGGAUACGGCCCAAAAUCCGAAGGGAGGGAGCAGUGGGGAAUUGUGCACAAUGGGGGAAAACCUGAUGCAGCGACGCCGCGGGAGUAAGAAGGCCUUCGGGUUGUAAAAAUCUUUUUUAUGGGAUGAAGUACCAUAAGAAUAAGGUCCGGCUAAAUACGUGCCAGCAGCCGCGGUAAUAC
rnacentral:rRNA from 1 species